rnacentral:rRNA from 1 species
UACGUAGGUGGCAAGCGUUGUCCGGAAUUAUUGGGCGUAAAGCGCGCGCAGGCGGCCUUUUAAGUCUGAUGUGAAAUCUUGCGGCUCAACCGCAAGCGGCCAUUGGAAACUGGGAGGCUUGAGUACAGAAGAGGAGAGUGGAAUUCCACGUGUAGCGGUGAAAUGCGUAGAUAUGUGGAGGAACACCAGUGGCGAAGGCGGCUCGCUGGACCGGAACUGACGCUGAGGCGCGAAAGCGUGGGGAGCAAACAGG